CCCUUAGAUGUUCUGGGCCGCACGCGCGCUACACUGAUGCAUUCAACGAGUCUAAAACCUGCUCUGAUAGGGGUGGGUAAUCUUUUGAAUGUGCAUCGUGAUUGGGAUAGAUGAUUGCAAUUUUUCAUCUUCAACAAGGAAUGCCUAGUAAACGCAAGUCAUCAGCUUGCAUUGAUUACGUCCCUGCCCUUUGUACACACCGCCCGUCGCUCCUACCGAUUGAAUGAUCCGAUGAAUAUCAUGGAUUGAGGAUGCAAGUAGGUUCGCCUAUCUUCAUCUUCGAGAAGUGAAGUAAAUCUUAUCAUUUAGAGGAAGGAGAAGUCGUAACA
rnacentral:rRNA from 1 species